rnacentral:rRNA from 1 species
UACGGGGGGUGCGAGCGUUGUCCGGAAUCACUGGGCGUAAAGGGCGCGUAGGUGGUCUUAUAAGGGUGUGGUGAAAGCCCGGGGCUCAACCCCGGGUCGGCUGUGCCGACUGUAAGACUAGAGUGCUGUAGGGGCAGGCGGAAUUCCGGGUGUAGCGGUGAAAUGCGCAGAUAUCGGGAGGAACACCGGUGGCGAAGGCGGUUCUCUGGGCCAUUACUGACGCUGAGGAGCGAAAGCGUGGGGAGCGAACAGG